AGUUUGAUCCUGGCUCAGAUUGAACGCUGGCGGCAGGCCUAACACAUGCAAGUCGAGCGGUAGCACAGAGAGCUUGCUCUCGGGUGACGAGCGGCGGACGGGUGAGUAAUGUCUGGGAAACUGCCUGAUGGAGGGGGAUAACUACUGGAAACGGUAGCUAAUACCGCAUAAUGUCGCAAGACCAAAGUGGGGGACCUUCGGGCCUCAUGCCAUCAGAUGUGCCCAGAUGGGAUUAGCUAGUAGGUGGGGUAACGGCUCACCUAGGCGACGAUCCCUAGCUGGUCUGAGAGGAUGACCAGCCACACUGGAACUGAGACACGGUCCAGACUCCUACGGGAGGCAGCAGUGGGGAAUAUUGCACAAUGGGCGCAAGCCUGAUGCAGCCAUGCCGCGUGUGUGAAGAAGGCCUUCGGGUUGUAAAGCACUUUCAGCGGGGAGGAAGGCGGUGAGGUUAAUAACCUCAUCGAUUGACGUUACCCGCAGAAGAAGCACCGGCUAACUCCGUGCCAGCAGCCGCGGUAAUACGGAGGGUGCAAGCGUUAAUCGGAAUUACUGGGCGUAAAGCGCACGCAGGCGGUCUGUCAAGUCGGAUGUGAAAUCCCCGGGCUUAACCUGGGAACUGCAUUCGAAACUGGCAGGCUAGAGUCUUGUAGAGGGGGGUAGAAUUCCAGGUGUAGCGGUGAAAUGCGUAGAGAUCUGGAGGAAUACCGGUGGCGAAGGCGGCCCCCUGGACAAAGACUGACGCUCAGGUGCGAAAGCGUGGGGAGCAAACAGGAUUAGAUACCCUGGUAGUCCACGCCGUAAACGAUGUCGAUUUGGAGGUUGUGCCCUUGAGGCGUGGCUUCCGGAGCUAACGCGUUAAAUCGACCGCCUGGGGAGUACGGCCGCAAGGUUAAAACUCAAAUGAAUUGACGGGGGCCCGCACAAGCGGUGGAGCAUGUGGUUUAAUUCGAUGCAACGCGAAGAACCUUACCUGGUCUUGACAUCCACAGAACUUUCCAGAGAUGGAUUGGUGCCUUCGGGAACUGUGAGACAGGUGCUGCAUGGCUGUCGUCAGCUCGUGUUGUGAAAUGUUGGGUUAAGUCCCGCAACGAGCGCAACCCUUAUCCUUUGUUGCCAGCGGUCCGGCCGGGAACUCAAAGGAGACUGCCAGUGAUAAACUGGAGGAAGGUGGGGAUGACGUCAAGUCAUCAUGGCCCUUACGACCAGGGCUACACACGUGCUACAAUGGCAUAUACAAAGAGAAGCGACCUCGCGAGAGCAAGCGGACCUCAUAAAGUAUGUCGUAGUCCGGAUUGGAGUCUGCAACUCGACUCCAUGAAGUCGGAAUCGCUAGUAAUCGUAGAUCAGAAUGCUACGGUGAAUACGUUCCCGGGCCUUGUACACACCGCCCGUCACACCAUGGGAGUGGGUUGCA
rnacentral:rRNA from 1 species